rnacentral:rRNA from 1 species
ACGGGUGAGUAACGCGUGGGAACGUGCCCUUCGGUUCGGAAUAACUCAGGGAAACUUGAGCUAAUACCGGAUACGCCCUUAUGGGGAAAGGCUUGACUGCCGAAGGAUCGGCCCGCGUCUGAUUAGCUAGUUGGUGAGGUUACGGCUCACCAAGGCGACGAUCAGUAGCUGGUCUGAGAGGAUGAUCAGCCACACUGGGACUGAGACACGGCCCAGACUCCUACGGGAGGCAGCAGUGGGGAAUAUUGGACAAUGGGGGCAACCCUGAUCCAGCCAUGCCGCGUGAGUGAUGACGGCCUUAGGGUUGUAAAGCUCUUUUCUCCGGGACGAUAAUGACGGUACCGGAGGAAUAAGCCCCGGCUAACUUCGUGCCAGCAGCCGCGGUAAUACGAAGGGGGCUAGCGUUGCUCGGAAUCACUGGGCGUAAAGGGCGCGUAGGCGGCUGACUUAGUCGAGGGUGAAAGCCCGUGGCUCAACCACGGAAUGGCCUUCGAUACUGGUUGGCUUGAGACCGGAAGAGGACAGCGGAACUGCGAGUGUAGAGGUGAAAUUCGUAGA